UUGCGCCGAAAAUGUACCGGGGCUUAAGAUUACCACCGAAGCAACGGAUUGUACGCAAGUACAGGGGUAGGGGAGCGUUCCAAGGGUGAUGAAGUCAGACCGUAAGGACUGGUGGAGCGCUUGGAAGUGAUUAUGCCGGCAUGAGUAACGUUUGGAAGUGAGAAUCUUCCAUGCCGUUUGACCAAGGUUUCCUGGGCAAGGUUCGUCCACCCAGGGUUAGUCAGGACCUAAGACGAGGCCGACAGGCGUAGUCGAUGGACAACAGGUUGAUAUUCCUGUACCAGUUAAUUAGUGAUGGAAACGG
rnacentral:rRNA from 1 species